rnacentral:tRNA from 1 species
AAAUAAGAAACAAAUUAUUGUAAUUAGUUUCGACCUAAUAUUUUGAUGUUACUUCAUCCUUAUUUG